AGAGAAAAAGAAAGCUGCAACAGCUCAGCCCCUCUCACAGAAGACUAAGAGGUCACAUUUGACUUAGCAGGAAUCUCAAAGAUCAGCUUCAUGAGGGGCAUAACUGGAGCCAUUAGCAAGCUCAUCCAAGAGUACCAUCCAUCAAAGAUGCUCAACCCAGGGGUGUGUUUGUCACCUCCAGUGACGGAUGAAGCAGGCAGUGACUCCACCAGCAGGAGCAUGCAGUGGGUCAUCUCCACAACCAGUGCUGCUCCAGCAGAUCAGUAGGUGAGAAGCAAAUUAAAUUGGUCUGAAGCAUGAAGUACCCCUCACAUGGUCAUUGAGAGGAAGAUUUGUUGGACAGUCUCCAUGAAACCUCAACACUGUUUUGGACUGGUAUUUCCUACCAAGUGCACCAGCAGUGCCAUCAAGGACAUCUAGGAGUAAGGGCUCCAGCUGCUCCUCUAACAUUGCUGAGAUAGCCUCCAGAAUAAAUUUCCAGCUCCUACUAAUUCCUAUCUUACGUAUCUUCUAUCCAAAGGCCUCUGGUAAGGACCUAAACCAGAGGAGGUUUGGCACUUGAUCC